rnacentral:rRNA from 1 species
GACGAACGCUGGCGGCGUGCUUAACACAUGCAAGUCGAACGGAAAGGCCCUGCUUUUGUGGGGUGCUCGAGUGGCGAACGGGUGGGUAACACGUGAGUAACCUGCCCUUGACUUUGGGAUAACUUCAGGAAACUGGGGCUAAUACCGGAUAGGAGCUCCUGCUGCAUGGUGGGGGUUGGAAAGUUUCGGCGGUUGGGGAUGGACUCGCGGCUUAUCAGCUUGUUGGUGGGGUAGUGGCUUACCAAGGCUUUGACGGGUAGCCGGCCUGGGAGGGUGACCGGCCACAUUGGGACUGGGCUACGGCCCAGACUCCUACGGGAGGCAGCAGUGGGGAAUAUUGCACAAUGGGCGGAAGCCUGAUGCAGCAACGCCGCGUGCGGGAUGACGGCCUUCGGGUUGUAAACCGCUUUCGCCUGUGACGAAGCGUGAGUGACGGUAAUGGGUAAAGAAGCACCGGCUAACUACGUG